rnacentral:misc_RNA from 1 species
GCAAAGGGCAAAAACAUUGAAGAGGCACGGGACAGAGCGUAUCGAGCAGUCGAGGAAAUUCGUUGGCCGGGUGGGUUCUACAGGAAGGAUAUAGGGUGGAGGGCUCUAGAAAAACAAUUUUCUUUGAAGGAAUAAUGCAGAAGUUUGAAAGUUUUGGCAUUUUGUUAGAGAAUAGGAACGUGUAUGAGUUCACAUCCUCAUGAAUAAAUUUUUCCAA